rnacentral:rRNA from 1 species
ACGCUCGACACCUACGUGAGGCAGCAGUCGGGAAUAUUGCGCAAUGGAGGAAACUCUGACGCAGUGACGCCGCGUAUAGGAAGAAGGUUUUCGGAUUGUAAACUAUUGUCGUUAGGGAAGAGAAAGGACAGUACCUAAGGAGGAAGCUCCGGCUAACUACGUGUCAGCAGCCGCGGUAAUCUGAGCGGGCUGGCAAGGC